AGAGGAAGAAGCAGGCUCCCAGCGGAGGAGCCUGAUGCGGGGCUCGAUCCCAGGACUCUAGGAUCACGCCCUGAGCUGAAGGCAGAUGCUUAACGACUAAGCCACCCAGGUGCCCCAUGGUGUCAGUUCUUUAAUACCCUCCCCUAUGCUUUAACGUGCGCUAGAGAUUUGGUCACUUCUCCCUUUCAGUUUUUCAGUCGGAAUAACCCAGGUCAUGGGGCGCCUGGGUGGCUCAGUCGGUUAAGGGUCUGACUCUUGAUUUUGGCUCAGGUCGUGGCUCAGGGUCUUGAGAUUGAGCCCCACAUCAGGCCCAGCACUGGGCAUGGAGCCUGCUUAAGAGUCUCUCUCUCCCUCUACCCCCCCAACCCCAGCUCGCGCUCUGGUGCUCGUUCUCUUCUAAAAAAAUAAAAUAAAAUAACCCGGGUCAUGCUUGGGUAACAAACAACCUCCAACAGUGAAUGGCUUAAGAUAAAAACAGGUUGAUUUCUUGUUCCUGCUAAGUGUCCGUCAUGAGUUGGCAGAGGGCUCUGCUCAUAGUGAACACUCAGGGACCCGAAAUGACACCAACAGAUGGUGUUGGUCAUUGUGCCAGAGGGAAAGAGAGUUCUGGAUCAUCUUGCAUGGACAAUUAAAUGUUUGGCCUGAAACUGAUACCAAACUUGUCACAAGGUCCCAUACCUCCACAUGCCUCCAAAGGGGCCAGGAAGGCAGUCCUACUGAUUGCCUGGGAGGUGCCUGAUUUCAGGGAUAUCUCUUAUCUGUUCAACUGGGGUAGAAAACUUCUUGGGACAGAGUUGUUUUUGCACGGCUAGCCUAUGUCUGGACAAAUAUCAUGCUCAGUAAUACCCCCUUGAGAGGCGGCUUGUCCAACCGUGAUUUUAAGAGCGAAUGACAUUUGAAAACAGAAAGGUGUGCUAUGUUAUGAUAUUUAGUCAGCAGUUGCCCUCUAGGGGUGUGUGUGUUUUAAUGUCAGUGGUAAAUAUGAGUUCUUCCAAUAGUAAAUAGUAAAUAGUAAAUAGUUCUUCCAAUAGUAAAAUCUCAUAUGAAAAGUAAAAAACCAUAUAGAAGUUUGGAAAGUGUAUCUUCUAGAUGUGCCCAUUCUGCCAUUAGGUUUAUUUCGAAGUAAGUAUACAAUUUGGUUUGGAAUCCACAGGAUGCGUGACACAUAUUAGACUAAUUUUUGUGGAGUGAAUGAGUGAGUAUCAUCAUCUCCACAUAUUCACCUAACCUCCUGUACCAGCUUUUUCCCAUGUUGCCAGGCAACAGAGAACACAUGUCACUUUAACAUAGUGUGACAUGGAGGAGCUGAGCUAUGCACAACGUCAAUAAGGUAAAGUACUGUGGGUUCUUACUCUAGCAUAAAAACAGCAGCAUCUGGGCUAGACAGCCUUUUAGGCUUGGGUGGAGACAGGCCAUAUCCACUACUUGCUGGCCACUGCUGACCUCACCUGUAUAACCACAAAUCUCCCUGGCUUCGCCAACCUGAGGGUGUAAGAUAUGGUUGAAUUAACAUUGAACCUCACAUCUUGAUUGCUGUGAGUCCCAUCUGCUUACAAAAGACCUCCAGGUGGUCUCAAAGUCACCCCUAGGUAUUGCUGCUUACCUGGACCCAGGCCGAGUCCAUUCAUGCUUUUCCAUUCCUUGAUGCAGACUGGUGCCUGCAAACCAUACUGUCUCUGCGAAUGGUGCCCUUGGUUUGUUUAUUACACAGUCCUGUCAGGCACAGCUGUCCUCUGUUGGUGGUGCCCUAAGCCGUCAGUGGGGAGUCAGGUGUGGUGUGACCACCCCCAUCAACUCUGAGUCACAUUGGAUCAUCUGGCUCCUGAAACAGCACACAGGGCCUUCAAGAACAGAGUGUCCUCAGCUUCUGACCCUGUCUUCUUCCCUCUCCACCCUCACCCUACUCCCCACCCUAAAGCCGACUCUAUUCCCCCCUUCCCCUCCCCUACCAUUUCCCGUCCUCCAUCCUCCACCCCUGGUGGGGGUUAGCUCAAAACUUGUCCUUCAAACUGGGCCAGGGAAUCUGUCAGCAUUUCCUUCCCCUCACCUUGGUCCUCAUCAUGGUCAAAUAAAUAGUGGUAGAGCCAGGUUUUAAAUCCUUACCUACCUUUGCACUCACUUUCCCCUAAAAGCAUACACUGAGAUCCUGAGACAAAAAUGAAAUACAGAAAUGAUCUGUUUCAAGUCAAAGCUCUUCAGUUCUCCUCCUUUCCCCAAAUUUGUCCCUCUCCAAGCAUUCCUUAUUUUAGUAAAUGGCAUCAUACCCCAUCCAGCCUGCUCGUGCUCCAUCCUGCCCAGAAGUCCUUUCGGCUCUACUUAGAACAUGGAGCUCAGAUCCAUCCAGUCACCACGUUGCCUCUGUCCUCACCCUGGUCCAGACCAUUGUUAUCCCUCUCCUGGUCAAAGACUUCCUGCCUGGUCCCAUCACUUCCGGGCUUAGCCACAUAAGACAGUUCCACUCAAUUCUCUGUAAAACAGAUCCCUCAUCACUGGAUCUCCGACACCAUGCUAGCCUCCCUCGUGUUUGUAUUUCAAAAUACCCAUGACUUUUUGGCUUCCCCUGAAAGGCAGAGAGAAGUCCCUUCCUGUGGCACUGGGGACAAAACACUGCAGAUACUUAACCAAAAACAGAGAAGAAAAUGUUGCUUUUCUAAGCAGAAGACUGAAUAUUCCAGUGCAAACUUGCAGGGUAUGUUUGAAAUACCAUAAGGACAAGACUGCAGAGUAAGACCCAAGGCGCCAGACCCAGUGCUUCCUGACCAACUGCCACCAGAGAGGCUGGGUGGCCAGAGCUCCACUCACACAGCUGAUUGCAAGUUCAGAUGCCUCCUGGGGCCAGGGUGAACCUGGAAGCUUUUCUGGAUUCCCUGAAUUUAAUUUUCAACCUGGAAGACCUAGCUGUGCCCCCUCAGCAUCCAGGAGGGGCCUUUAAGCAAAACCAUGUGCACCAGCAACGCAGCAUAAGCAGAUGCUACACACGGUGAAGGACGUGGGAUGCAGGCAGCUGGAAAAUUGUGCUACAAAAAUAAACACCCACUUUCUGCAAAUUGGGCAACUCUCAUUAGCCCUGGGAAGCUCAUUUUCACGGUUAAGUAGUUAAGCUGCUGAUUAAAGGCAGGGACCAUUUAGGCACCUGCUUCUUCGUUCAUUUUCCUUCUGUUUUAAACUUUGGCCAGGAGAUGGCGCUCUUGAACGACAUUUUUCAGAGGACUCCUCGGUGUUGGUGCUACAAGACCCACUUGGCACCUGCAAAUAGUUCCUUCUUAAACUGAGAAAAUGACUUGGAUUUUCCGUUGGGGAGAGGAAUGCAAUUUUAUUUUAUAUUUAUUUUUUUAAGAAUGCAAUUUUAAAUCCAGCUAGAAGCCUGAGUGGCUAAGAACAUAAUAACACCAGCUGUCGUGUUUUCAUUUGGAUCUAAAAAUUCAAUUAAUGCUGAUUAAUGUGUGCGUGUGGGGGGGGCAGGUGCAGCCCCAGUGCUGUGAUGUUAAGCCAGGAAGUAAUAAUACUUUGUAGAAAAAAAUAAGGUGCUUGAGGAAGGACUAGUAUUUGAUCUUAACACAUUAGAAUAAAGACAGCUUGGUACACCCGGGUGUGGUAGACCUGGCUUUAAUAUCUUGUGCACAAAUGCCGCAUAUAAUGGCUUAUAUCUUUCAGACCUACCUUUGCAUGUUACCAGAAGCCUUCAAAGCCGUUAUUCCCAGGGCUGAGUGAAACAGGAGGUUUCGGAGCUGAAGAAUUUAUGUAUUUUCAAACAUUAAUUUUAUAUAGCAUAUAUAUACAUAUAUAUGGGCUUUGCACAGCCUGGAUCCCCAUAUAUGUGU